AUCCAUGUCUCUGUAACCCAAGUCCACAGGAUGGACGGUCCAGAUUCAUCAAAACAAGGACGUCAACCAUUGAGUAGCAACGAACAUGAUUGCUUUGUCUCGUGACCGGUCAAGUUGGGCUCUGUAAACAAAGAGACCUGCAACUUGAAGUGAAGAGAAACAAAGCUUUUAUCUGAAUUUCUUUCCUGUGAGAGAAAAAAGAGUGAGGAAAGAUGUCCAUUGUCGAGUCCAUUGUCAAGCUCCUUCUCCAAAAACUCGCUGACCCAAUCCUUCAAGAAGCCAUUUUGUUAUAUGGCGUUGGCGAUGAAGUCGAAUGGCUCGAGGCUGAAUUUAAGCGGAUGCAAUGCUUCUUGGAAGACGCAGACGCCAAACAAGAAGGAGAUAAAAGAGUUAAGUGCUGGGUGGGGGAUGUGAGAGAUGUUGCAUAUGAUGCUGAGGACGUCAUCGACACCUUUCUCUUCAAGGUAGCAAACUUGAGGCGAACUGGCAUUAAAAGGUACGGUUGCAUCUUCAAUGAAUUGAAACCUCGCCAUGAGGUGGGAUCGAAAAUCGAGCUAAUAAAGGCUAAAAUCCGUGCGAUCUCUGAAAGUAGAUCGACGUAUGGAAUUGAAAAUAUAGGCCAAGGAGCAGGGACGAGCUCUUCCGGUCUAAGCCUCCAAGAAUGGAGGCUCACUUCUCCUCUUUCUCAAGAAACAGAUUUUGUUGGCUUUGAGAAGGAAUUGGAGAUGUUGGUGGCCCGGUUAACAGAGGGAGAGCUGCGACGUUGUGUUGUUUCUGUAGUAGGAAUGGGUGGUCUCGGUAAGACCACUCUUACUAAGAAGCUUUAUAACACUGAUAUUGUUAAGAAUCAUUUCGAUACUCAUGCGUGGAUUUCUGUAUCACAAGAGUAUUCUGCGAGAGAUCUUUUGCAGGUCUUUGUAAGACGUUGGAUGGUGGUAUCCAACAAUACAGCAGAGAAAUUGAACAUUGCUGAGCUGAGGGACAAGAUUUCUGAGUAUCUGAAUGACAAGAGAUACUUGGUGGUCUUGGAUGAUAUAUGGAGAAGGGAAGCAUGGAAUGCUCUCAAGGAUGCAUUUCCGGAUGUGAAUAAUGGCAGUAGGGUCGUGCUCACCACACGAAACAAAGACGUCGCUUUACAUGCAGAUCCAGAUCCACGAAGCCGGCCCCAUGAACUUCGAUUUCUAACCAAUGAAGAGAGCUGGGAUUUGUUCCGUAAAAAAACAUUCCUAGAACGAGAUGGUGAUUGCCCGCAGGAUUUGGAGAAGCUGGGAAGAGAGAUUGUGGAAAAAUGCCAUGGUCUCCCUCUUGCGAUUGCAGUCAUUGGAGGGCUCUUAUCAGGAAAGGAACCAAGGGAGUGGGACAAUGUACGCAAGAGCAUCAGCUGGCAGUUUGUCGAGGGAGAAGUCCAAAUCUCCAGCAUAUUAUCUUUAAGCUAUAAAGAUUUGCCUUAUUACUUAAAACCAUGUUUUCUCUACCUGGGAAAUUUUCCAGAGGACUACGAGUUCCAAGCCAAGGAAUUGAUUGGACUGUGGGCCGCAGAAGGGUUUCUUAAAGAAAGAGGGGAACUAACAUUGGAAGAGGUUGGAGAAGAUUAUCUGAUGCAGUUGGUUAAGAGAAGUAUGGUUCAAUUGACAAGAAGAAAUUCAAGCAGGGGUAUCAAAAGUUGUCGCAUCCACGAUCUUUUGCGUGAUCUAUCUAUAUCAGAAGCUAAGGAAAGCAAGUUUCACGAAGUUCGCGGUAACAAUGGGAAUGCUCCUUCCGCAUCUAGAGCCCGUCGACUUGCACUUCACCUUAACGACCGAAGUAAGUUCAUUUCCUUAAGUAGUUCCACUCCGAACCUUCGUUCUGUGUUGAUCUACGCCCAAGGCUAUACAUGGCUUGAAGAGGAGCAAAUGAAGUUUCUAUUCCAAGGCUUUAAGUUGCUUAGGGUGCUAUAUCUAGCUGAUUUAGAAAUAAGAGAGCUACCGAAGCAAAUAGGUGAACUAAUCCAUUUGAGAUAUCUCAGGUGUACUAAUACUUGGUUAGAAACCCUCCCAUCGUCGAUAGGCAAUCUUAUCAAUUUACAAACUCUACUUUUAGAUUCCAGUAAUGGUAUUAAAGUACCCGACACAAUUGGGAAGAUGCAUCAGUUAAGACAUCUUCGAUUACUCGUGGACAAACCACAGACGGUUAUGACUUCGGGAUGGAUACAAGGGCUACCUUUUGGAGUGAUACAAGGGCAUCCAAGGCUCGACCUGAUGAGUAACCUCCAGACUCUAUCUGGAGUAUAUGCUGGCAAAUGGAUGGAGGGUUGCUUGGGAAAGCUCACCAAUCUUAGAAAUUUAAAAAUACUUUUUGAAACAGAAGCUGAUGCUGAGUUAUUCUCCGAGGCUAUUGUCAAUCUGAACUGCCUCCAUCAUCUGUGGGCGCGGAUGUCAGUACCGAUACGUUUUUUUGAAGACAGAGCCUUAGUUUUGUCGUUACCUAAUCUUUCACAUCUUCUCAAGUUAAGUAAGUUGCAUUUGGGAGGAAAGUUAGAGACGUUACCUGAAUUUCCAACAAACCUCACCAAACUCUCCUUGGAAUGGUCCCGUUUAAAGGAAGACCCAAUGGCGACGUUGGAGAAGCUGAAAAGCCUUCGCAUUCUCAGAUUGCUCGGUGAUUCAUAUGAUGGAGUGGAAAUGGCUUGCUCUGCACAAGGGUUUCCUCAACUCGAAUCCUUGCGUCUUCAAGCGUUAUGUAAAUUAAAGGAGUGGAGAGUGGAGGAAGGAGCUAUGCCAAGUCUUUUACAUUUAUGGAUAGGUGACUGCAAGCAAUUGAAGAAGCUUCCAGAAGGACUGCAACACGUGACUACCCUCAAGAAAUUGGAGCUGUGGUGGAUGCGUGACGAAUUCAAUGCAAGGGUUCGAGAAGAUGGGGGAGAGGAUUGGUAUAAGAUCCGGCACAUACCCUCCAUCGACAUACGACAGAUGUUUACAAUCAAGCAGUCGGACUUUAAUUUCUAUCAUUAUGAGAGGCCAUUAAUCUGAUGGUCAGCAUCUUACUAUCACUUCAGUUUUGAAUAAUGGUAGUCGUUCACUAAGAGUUCUUGUGAAGAUGACCUUGUGCAAAAAUCAAGUUGACAACUAACAAGAGAAUACUGAUGAAGCAAGAAGUCUGAAUUGUGCAGUCAGUCCAAACCUUCAAGCCAAUAUUAAAUGAAAAUGAUUUUAUAGGUGAUGCUACUGGCACGUUUCAUGUGAUUGAUGAGAGAGUUACACAUAUUCAUGACCAAGCUGCUCAUUAAGCGAGAGUCACUAUAUAGCUUCCCUUGCACAAGAUUCAAGCUGUCUGCUUAUCUGAUGUACCAAUAAUACCAUAUGUUAAAUGCUAACUGUCCAUUACAUUUGCAUACGAUUGGCUCACAUGUUUUGCAUCCAACCUGAUUCUUGGACCAAGCAUAAGUUGUGGGGCAACCAUCGACGGGUUAGACAGGAGCUUCGAUUAAGAUUUUUGGAAAGAUCUAUGGCGGAGUGUAUUAAAUCAAAGAUUGAAUUUCAGAAUUACUAGCCCCACAUGUUACACGCAUCAAGACACUUGGACCGAAUGCAUUUGAAACAUAUACUUCCUGUUUUAUCCAUUAUUAGUUUUUAUAGUUAGGCAUUUUUCUCACAACAGAGAUUGCACUGACUUGCAUAUGCUAAGUGACUAGACGAAAUGAAGAAUGGUGGAAUGGUGACUAGACAGUGAUGAGAUGUUUGGAUGAUCAUUUGUAUUUGUAUCUCGAGGAUUUAUGUACUUUCUGUUUGAGAUAUUUCAAUAUGGAACCAUGCACUAAUAUUCUUUACAUGCUCUGCAUUUGAAUUUGGGGAAAUUGUUCAUUAAUGUUUGACUUAUUUCACUGUAUGCAUUGUUUGCCUGUAAUAUGUUAGUUGAAAACUGAAAUAAGAAGCAAUUUCUUUACAA